AAUUGUGAAUAAGAGGCCAUCCAUAUAAUCCUAAGAAUAGGGCUUGGGAGUUUCUACCGGGAAGCCGUAAACUUCUCGACUAUGGGUGAGCUACGGUGGAAU
rnacentral:ncRNA from 1 species